rnacentral:rRNA from 1 species
AGAGUUUGAUCAUGGCUCAGAACGAACGCUGGCGGCAGGCUUAACACAUGCAAGUCGAACGCCCCGCAAGGGGAGUGGCAGACGGGUGAGUAACACGUGGGAAUCUACCCUUUGCUACGGAACAACUCCGGGAAACUGGAGCUAAUACCGUAUGUGCCCUUCGGGGGAAAGAUUUAUCGGCAAAGGACGAGCCCGCGUCGGAUUAGCUAGUUGGUGGGGUAAAGGCCUACCAAGGCGACGAUCCGUAGCUGGUCUGAGAGGAUGAUCAGCCACACUGGGACUGAGACACGGCCCAGACUCCUACGGGAGGCAGCAGUGGGGAAUAUUGGACAAUGGGCGCAAGCCUGAUCCAGCCAUGCCGCGUGUGUGAUGAAGGCCUUAGGGUUGUAAAGCACUUUCGCCAGGGACGAUAAUGACGGUACCUGGAUAAGAAGCCCCGGCUAACUUCGUG